rnacentral:lncRNA from 1 species
CCCCAUCGAGUAAUACACCCCAGUCGAGAUUUUCUAUAUCAUCUCUGCCAAGGCGCAGUCAUUGGAAGAGAUUCAGGUAAGAUUAUCCUUGUUUUCUACAUCAAAUUUUGCAUGUUCAUCUAUCUAAUCUUUGAUACUACAUUUCUUAGCUAAUGUCCUCCUUGCUUGUACCAUGUUCAUAUGAUUAACAAAGGCUUGGCCAUCUUAAUAUAGUAGCCCGUGAGGUGGAUAUAUAUACUACUCCCUCCAUUCCUAAAUAUAAGUCUUUUUACAGAUUCCAAUAUGGACUACUGAAUGAAUCUACACUCUAAAGAAUGUCUAUAUGCAUCUGUAUGUAGUCCAUAUUGAAAUUUCUAAAUGGACUUAUAUUUAGAAAGAGAGGGAGUACUUCAGUUUGCAUGAGAGAAUAAUCACUUAUAUGUGUGCCUUGAUAUUAUAGUAGGAUUGCUUGGAUUAUUUCGGUAGUACUUUGUCCAAAAAUGUUGUUCUAAUCCCUAGCUCACUUGAACCUGGGUGAACAGUAAAAUAAUUAAAAAAUCUGAUUUUUUUUAGUGUGAAACAUUGACAAAUGUUUUCAUAGCGAAUAGAAAUUUUUCACCAGAUGACAUUCGUGGAAAAUAUGUCCAAAAAAUAGUUGCAAAUUUAUCACCAGAUAACAUUGUGGAAAAUAGUUGCGUCCGUACAGUGUGUUCUUCGUCGAAUUUGUGUUUGAUUUUUUUUCACUAUAUAUUACUUCUUGCUUGCGCGAGGGUAGUGUAGAUUUGUUAUUUUUUGCCCCGAAAAGAAGGUAGCCGGAUUAGUAGUCUAAUUGAGUAGAUGCUGGUGAGGAAGGGUUACUUGAUUUUUAUUGAGUACAUUAUGCUCUGCUUUGUGACGAGGUUUGAAAUUUGAUGGUUCUGAUGUGUAAUAGAGGGGGCAAAAGUGUUAUCCAUUUCAUUGUUUCUGUGCAUGUUUACGUUGACAUUGGUGGCGGGAGGCGGCAUUGCUGGCGGCCGAAGGGGUGCUUGUGGAAGCAAGUGGAAUAGUCGGCAGCUGUGGGGAUUCGUUAUUCUCCGAGGUUGGCGGGCUCGACGCCAGGCUCGAUGGGGUUGCGGGAUUGUCAAGCAGGUAAAGUUCGUCAACUCGUCCAGUUUGAUGCUUUUCAACUGCUGGAUAAUGGUUUCGUGCCAUGCGUCGUCUCCAUGUAUUUACUAAAAUAUUUACUAUGCUCUUCUAUUUGGAGAAAGAAGCAUGGUGCAGCCUACCAAGCUGGGGAGAGCCAUAUAAUGCCCAUCUUGGAAUUAGCUGUUCGACUGAGAUAUGCUGGACAAAAAUAUUGCCAGUUCCUUUGAGUAUGAUUGACUUGUAUAAUGUGAUUUUUAUUUUUUUAGAGUGAAUUACAUAAUAUAUAGAUGUGCAUUAUUUUGGCUUUAGUAAAUGGUUUUCUCAUGUUUAGAAACAUGCGAGGUUGGGGGGGGGGUCUUCUAGCAUUCCAAUCUGCACUACUUUUGCUUUGUUUCAUCAACAGACAUCAUGCAAUUGAAAUAGUUUGAUUCAGGACACCAAGCGUUUGGGAAAGUGGCAUGGUGCUGGUCCUUGAAAUUGAUGUUCUUAGUGAUUUAUGAUGGAGUUUUAUCUGAAUUUAACAUCGCUGUCCUCAACAUCAAUUUUGUUGACUCAUAGUCGGGUGAUUGCUCAACGAUGACAGGAGACGAUCUUCGGUAUUACAACUGGUUUAUACCAAUGGGUUAUUUGCAUCUCAAGUUAAAUUAGUCACUGUUGAUCAACAAUGAGAUGUGGCCAUUGUUUGAUGGAUCAUUGAUGAUACGGAUGUGCAAUGAAACAAUGAUAUACCCACUGUAUUGGACCCGAACACCUUCCUGAAAAUUGUUCUGAAGGGUGAGACACUGAACCACCACACAAUUUUAGAACUAUAUCUUUAUAUUAUAUCUCUUAAUUUCCGCUUAUUUGAAUUUUAUAAUCCUUACUUUUCAAUACAUAUCUAAAUAGACUUGAUGUUUUUGACUAAUGGAUUGCAGGGUUAGCACAAGGAAACUAUUGUUAUGACUUGCGAGGUCUGCUGGAGGUGACCGGAUCCGGAUGACUUGAGCAAAGCUGUGAAAAUUCACGUAUACCGUUUACCAAACUCAAUUUGUUUGGUCUAGAUGCAUGACUUUUAGAAUAAAUUUAGAUUGUAUGUGUACUCAUUGUCGUGAUCUUUGUACAUCUGUAACUACACCCUACAACCUGAGCCACUUGACGAUCUGCAAUUAGAUGUUACAAAAUAUAGAUGCAAUAUGUUAAUUCUAAGGUGGCAUCAAAUUCCUAAUAAUUC